CUUAAGACUGGGUGUGUUUUUUAUUAUUAUUUUAUUUUUUUGAUUUAUUGUCGAUUAAUGUUCCCUGUUUGAGUCUGAACUGCAGCCUGGAAUUAUCAUCCAGAAUAUCUGAGAAAUGUGCAAGCAUAUAGCCUCCAGUACACUGCAUGGCCAAAAGUAUGUGGACGGGUUGUCCACUAAUCAUAGGAUUGGCGGUUCGAUUCCUGGCCCACAUGACUCCACAUACCGACGUGUCCUUGGGCAAGACACUGAACUCCAAGUUGCUCCCGAUGGCAAGUUAGCACCUUGCAUGGCAGCUCUGCUACCCUUGCAAGCACAUAAUCGUCCAGAAAGUCUUUGUGUGCUGUAGCAUUACAAUUUCCCUUCGCUGGAGCCUGUUCCAGUAUGACAGUGUGUCCCUGUGCCCAAAGCAAGCUCCAUGAAGAAGGACAUGGUGUGGUAAGGUUGGAGUGGAAGAACUCGAGUGUCCUGAACAGAGAGCCCUGACCAAAAGCCCACUGACUCAACACCUUCAGGAUGAAUUGGAACACAGACUGCACCACAGGACUCCUUUACAUCCCAACAUCAGUUCCUGACCUCACAAAUCCUCACAAAGCGCAUUAUAACAGUAAAGGGGGAAUAUAUCUGGACUGGGACGUUCAACAAGCACAUAUGGGAGUGAUGGUCAGGUGUCCACAAACUUUUGGCAAUGUAUUCUAUCUCUCUAUCUAUUUACUUAUUUUAUUUUUUCAAUAUUUCUUGGAGUGACGUAAGCAUAUGUGAGUAUCCCUAGAGGAUAAAAAAUAGGCCUACAUUUUUGAUAUUAGACCUACACUGUUACGCAUUGUGAUUCUGAUAUUAUGUGAUGUGAAAAAUCGGUCUGCAUUAUUAUUUUGGUGAUAAAUAACAUCAGUUUAAAUAAAUGAAAUAAAGUAUCCAA